rnacentral:rRNA from 1 species
GACGAACGCUGGCGGCGUGCUUAACACAUGCAAGUCGAACGCUGAAGCUCAGCUUUUGUUGGGUGGAUGAGUGGCGAACGGGUGAGUAACACGUGAGUAACCUGCCUCCUUCUUUGGGAUAACGCCCGGAAACGGGUGCUAAUACUGGAUAUUCACUGGUCUUCGCAUGGGGGUUGGUGGAAAGGGUUUUUCUGGUGGGGGAUGGGCUCGCGGCCUAUCAGCUUGUUGGUGGGGUGAUGGCCUACCAAGGCUUUGACGGGUAGCCGGCCUGAGAGGGUGACCGGUCACAUUGGGACUGAGAUACGGCCCAGACUCCUACGGGAGGCAGCAGUGGGGAAUAUUGCACAAUGGGCGCAAGCCUGAUGCAGCGACGCCGCGUGAGGGAUGGAGGCCUUCGGGUUGUGAACCUCUUUCGCUCAUGGUCAAGCCGCAACAAUGGUUGUGGUGAGGGUAGUGGGUAAACAAGCGCCGGCUAACUACGUG